rnacentral:rRNA from 1 species
CCUACGGGUGGCAGCAGUGAGGAAUAUUGGUCAAUGGACGAGAGUCUGAACCAGCCAAGUAGCGUGAAGGAUGACUACCCUAUGGGUUGUAAACUUCUUUUAUAUGGGAAUAAAACGUUCCACGUGUGGGAUUUUGUAUGUACCAUAUGAAUAAGGAUCGGCUAACUUCGUGCCAGCAGCCGCGGUAAUACGGAGGAUCCGCGCGUUAUCCGGAUUUAUUGGGGUUAAAGGGAGCGUAGGUGGAUUGUUAAGUCAGUUGUGAAAGUUUGCGGCUCAACCGUAAAAUUGCAGUUGAAACUGGCAGUCUUGAGUACAGUAGAGGUGGGCGGAAUUCGUGGUGUAGCGGUGAAAUGCUUAGAUAUCACGAAGAACUCCGAUUGCGAAGGCAGUUCACUGGACUGCAACUGACACUGAGGCUCGAAAGUGUGGGUAUCAAACAGGAUUAGAUACCCUUGUAGUC